rnacentral:rRNA from 1 species
GAUGAACGCUGGCGGCGUGCCUAAUACAUGCAAGUCGAGCGAACAGACGAGGAGCUUGCUCCUCUGACGUUAGCGGCGGACGGGUGAGUAACACGUGGAUAACCUACCUAUAAGACUGGGAUAACUUCGGGAAACCGGAGCUAAUACCGGAUAAUAUAUUGAACCGCAUGGUUCAAUAGUUAAAGACGGUUUUGCUGUCACUUAUAGAUGGAUCCGCGCCGCAUUAGCUAGUUGGUAAGGUAACGGCUUACCAAGGCAACGAUGCGUAGCCGACCUGAGAGGGUGAUCGGCAACACUGGAACUGAGACACGGUCCAGACUCCGACGGGAGGCAGCAGUAGGGAAUCUUCCGCAAUGGGCGAAAGACUGAAGGAGCAACGCCGCGUGAGUGAUGAAGGUCUUCGGAUCGUAAAACUCUGUUAUUAGGGAAGAACAAAUGUGUAAGUAACUAUGCACGUCUUGACGGUACCUAAUCAGAAAGCCACGGCUAACUACGU